rnacentral:rRNA from 1 species
CAAUAGCGUAUAUUAAAGUUGUUGCAGUUAAAAAGCCCGUAGUUGGAUUUCUGGUCGGAAGCUCCUGUCCUCUGAUGAGCGUACAAGUGCGUCCUACCAUCCUUCUGUUAACCUUUAAGGCUUUCGCGGCUUUCUAGGGGCUCAGAUAUUUUACCUUGAGAAAAUUAGAGUGUUUCAGGCAGGCUAGCGCCGGAAUACAUUAGCAUGGAAUAAUGGAAUAGGACUUUUGCCUCUUCUGUUGGUCAUGAGGCUCGAGUAAUGAUUAAUAGGGAUAGUUGGGGGCAUUAGUACUUAACUGUCAGAGGUGAAAUUCUCGGAUUUGUUAAAGACUAACCUAUGCGAAAGCAUUUGCCAAGGAUGUUUUCAUUAA